rnacentral:rRNA from 1 species
UACGGAAGGGGCUAGCGUUGCUCGGAAUCAGCUGGGCGUAAAGGGCGCGUAGGCGGAUCUUUAAGUCAGGGGUGAAAGCCCAAGGCUCAACCUUGGAAUUGCCUUUGAUACUGAGGAUCUCGAGACCGGAAGAGGUAAGUGGAACUGCGAGUGUAGAGGUGAAAUUCGUAGAUAUUCGCAAGAACACCAGUGGCGAAGGCGG